CAGGAGAGGACCAACUCUUUUUUUUUUUUUUGAAGCCAACUAUCCAUUGUCUUGCUUUUUUGUUUCUUUGACUUUUAUCCUUUGGAAGAGACCUGAAACAUAAAUAUGAGCAACAUGCUACUCAUUUCGUUGGUUCCACUUUGUGAACCACAUAUCUAAUCAAACUUUCAUUAGCUAAUUGUCCUUUGCUAUCAAUACAAGUAGAAGUGGUCAUCUGCUAUAAGUUCUUUGAUAUUUUACUUGGCUGGCUCGGUGGCUCUUUUGAGUGCUACCAUGUAUCAAUUGCUCUUCCCAUCUUUUUUUUUUUUUUUUUAACUUUUCAAGUGGAUAAAGACUGAUGGCGUAUAGGAAAUUGAACUGGACUCUUUGGUGCUUCUCUUGAUGACUCAUAGGGAUUCACUUGCUCUCUUUGCAUUGUUGUUUAAGCAGCAGAUAAGACGCCCACCACCUGUUCGAUGGAAGUCCUGUGUACGUGUACCAAUGUGUCGCUGCCUCUCCUUUCUUUCUUCAUCAAUUGGUGAUGGAAAUUUGGGCGAGCUUUGGAGCUUUCACUGGUUUGCUGACCUCUCCCUUGUACACGAAAGGCACUUGUGGGUACUCAACAAGGCUUAAGAAAAAUUCCACCGGAUUGGUCAUACACCCGUUGAUACGUACACAUGUAUCAUAAACGAGAUUGCGACCGCUCCGAGGACCUCCAUGGCUCCGUGGUGAGUGGUGACACAAGUAAAAGAGAUGCUGCACAGAAAAAAGGAAGUAGCUAGCAUUGGUGGAUCAGAGAGGCCCCAACCUUUGUGUUGUCUGCUUGUUGGCUCCUUGCUUCGAUCCAAAUUGCCGAACACUUCUUCUCUCCUCUGCAGCAAGGCUUCGCCUCUUUCUUGAUGUAUUUCCUGUGUCUCUUUUGUUGUAGAGAGUGUGCCUUUUUAUAGGCAACAAUGGAUCAACUUGAGAUAGGAUAGUUAUCAAUUCAAAUUCAAAUCAAAUUGUAGUUAUAAUCACAUUUGUCAAUUUGAAAUGAAUAUAGCAGCAACCAACUUUCACGUUGAA